rnacentral:rRNA from 1 species
UACGUAGGGGGCAAGCGUUGUCCGGAAUCAUUGGGCGUAAAGAGCGCGUAGGCGGUCCGGUAAGUCCGCUGUGAAAGUCAAGGGCUCAACCCUUGAAUGCCGGUGGAUACUGUCGGGCUAGAGUCCGGAAGAGGCGAGUGGAAUUCCUGGUGUAGCGGUGAAAUGCGCAGAUAUCAGGAGGAACACCGGUGGCGAAGGCGGGUCUCUGGGCAGUAACUGACGCUGAGGAGCGAAAGCGUGGGGAGCGAACAGG